UAAGCUAGUCUUGGACACAUUCAAGUUGCAGAAAUAAGAUAAUGAGAUGAACUUAGGUUCACAUGGUGAAGAUUGGUGACUAUGAAGAAAGUCCUAGUGAAGAUUAAUAUGGAUGCAGAUAUCUUCUCCUCAAGGAAGUCCAUCUAAGCAUUCUGAGAACUUCUGCUAGAUGUGUGGACACUGCAUGGAAGGAGGCCCCAUAAUUUCCUGCUAUAAAAUUGAUUAAAAGGUUCAGAGAAUAUAAGAUGAGACUAUGUUUAGUAUUUGUUAAUUAAAAAAGCAAUUUGGUAUGUGUAAUUUCCGGACUAGCUCUCUGUAGGAUCUCAGUACCAGCCCAAGUUCUUGACUGUAGGUGAGUAGUGAAGAGGUGGG
rnacentral:lncRNA from 1 species